UCUUGCCAGAGGUGCCCCGUCCGCGGCGCCGGCGCCGGCGAACUGCGCAAUGGCCUUUCCCCUUGCACGAGCCGCGGCCAUUCCUCGCCGUCAAUCCUUCCUCCCUAUUAUCACAUCUUUCCACCUCGUCCCAUCUGCAGGCGCGCCGCCCCGCCGCUCCUAAUCGCCGGCCUCCGGAGAGGGAGCCCAUGAGGAACCUCGUCGCCGCCUGUUGUCUCACCCCCCUCAAUCCUCGUCGACUGAGGCCAAGAAUGGCUGAAUGGGGAUAAAAUCAUGCGAGCGGUUCAGUCAAAAACCACACGAGCCGCAAUUCAAACUUGCAGCGUGGAAGCUAAUUGAGUAGAAACCAAAUGUGACAUAAACUUGGCAUCACUGAUAUAGUGAUGUGCAUAUGUCAAAGAACAGUACCGUUAUAGUUGUACAAUUUCUAGCUUUGGUUCAUUAGAACUGGCAAGCUCCCUUGUCAAAUCCAGUUGUUGCCGGGUGCUCGGUUAUUCUCUCACAAAGCUCAUUUUGGUUAUCAAAUCAUGGAUCUGUCAUUGGGCUUCCUCCUAUUCACCAUUU